CUGUUAUGUGUGUGAGAGUGGCGGACGGGUGAGUAGUGUCUGGGGCUCUGCCCGAUAGAGGGGGAUAACCAGUGGAAAGGGUGGCUAAUACCGCAUAACGUCGCAAGACCAAAGAGGGGGACCUUCGGGCCUCUCACUAUCGGAUGAACCCAGAUGGGAUUAGCUAGUAGGCGGGGUAGUGGCCCACCUAGGCGACGAUCCCUAGCUGGUCUGAGAGGAUGACCAGCCACACUGGAACUGAGACACGGUCCAGACUCCUACGGGAGGCAGCAGUGGGGAAUAUUGCACAGUGGGCGCAAGCCUGAUGCACCCGUGCCGCGUGUAUGAAAAAGGCCUUCGGGUUGUAAAGUACUUUCAGCGGGGAGGAAGGCGACGGGGUUAAUAACCGUGUCGAUUGACGUUACCCGCAAAAGAAGCACCGGCUAACUCCGUGCCAGCAGCCGCGGUAAUACAGAGGGUGCAAGCGUUAAUCGGAAUUACUGGGCGUAAAGCGCACGCAGGCGGUCUGUUAAGUCAGAUGUGAAAUCCCCCGGGCUUAACCUGGGAACUGCAUUUGAAACUGGCAGGCUUGAGUCUUGUAGAGGGGGGUAGAAUUCCAGGUGUAGCGGUGAAAUGCGUAGAGAUCUGGAGGAAUACCGGUGGCGAAGGCGGCCCCCUGGACAAAGACUGACGCUCAGGUGCGAAAGCGUGGGGAGCAAACAGGAUUAGAUACCCUGGUAGUCCACGCCGUAAACGAUGUCGACUUGGAGGUUGUUCCCUUGAGGAGUGGCUUCCGGAGCUAACGCGUUAAGUCGACCGCCUGGGGAGUACGGCCGCAAGGUUAAAACUCAAAUGAAUUGACGGGGGCCCGCACAAGCGGUGGAGCAUGUGGUUUAAUUCGAUGCAACGCGAAGAACCUUACCUACUCUUGACAUCCACGGAAUUUGGCAGAGAUGCUUUGGUGCCUUCGGGAACCGUGAGACAGGUGCUGCAUGGCUGUCGUCAGCUCGUGUUGUGAAAUGUUGGGUUAAGUCCCGCAACGAGCGCAACCCUUAUCCUUUGUUGCCAGCGAUUCGGUCGGGAACUCAAAGGAGACUGCCGGUGAUAAACCGGAGGAAGGUGGGGAUGACGUCAAGUCAUCAUGGCCCUUACGAGUAGGGCUACACACGUGCUACAAUGGCGCAUACAAAGAGAAGCGACCUCGCGAGAGCAAGCGGACCUCACAAAGUGCGUCGUAGUCCGGAUCGGAGUCUGCAACUCGACUCCGUGAAGUCGGAAUCGCUAGG
rnacentral:rRNA from 1 species